GAGCAUAAGUAUCUCUCAGAUCUGAGAACACUAUAGUGACUUGCAAGCAACUCAUUGUGCUUUGGUGCUAGACUAUCUGCAUUUCUAAUAUAAUGAUGAAAGGCUAAUGGGUACUAUCAAGUACUUAUGAAGUCUAUAUGUGGAUCAAGAUGGGAUUGAGCCCUCUGAAUUAUAAGAGACAAUGCAUAACUAUAUUUUAAUUUAGUAAAGCUUUGGCCAGGAUAAUCCAUGUGAUAGAUUUGAAAGGUUGAAAUACAAUGUGGAUGACUCAUCCA
rnacentral:lncRNA from 1 species